GGGGGGGAACUUUCGGGAUCUUGAGAGCGGCGUACGGGUGCGGAACACGUGUGCAACCUGCCUUUAUCAGGGGGAUAGCCUUUCGAAAGGAAGAUUAAUACCCCAUAAUAUAUUUGUCGGCAUCGAUGGAUAUUGAAAACUCCGGUGGAUAGAGAUGGGCACGCGCAAGAUUAGAUAGUUGGUGAGGUAACGGCUCACCAAGUCUGCGAUCUUUAGGGGGCCUGAGAGGGUGAUCCCCCACACUGGUACUGAGACACGGACCAGACUCCUACGGGAGGCAGCAGUGAGGAAUAUUGGACAAUGGGUGCGAGCCUGAUCCAGCCAUCCCGCGUGAAGGACGACGGCCCUAUGGGUUGUAAACUUCUUUUGUAUAGGGAUAAACCUAGAUACGUGUAUCUAGCUGAAGGUACUAUACGAAUAAGCACCGGCUAACUCCGUGCCAGCAGCCGCGGUAAUACGGAGGGUGCAAGCGUUAUCCGGAUUUAUUGGGUUUAAAGGGUCCGUAGGCGGAUCUGUAAGUCAGUGGUGAAAUCUCACAGCUUAACUGUGAAACUGCCAUUGAUACUGCAGGUCUUGAGUGUUGUUGAAGUAGCUGGAAUAAGUAGUGUAGCGGUGAAAUGCAUAGAUAUUACUUAGAACACCAAUUGCGAAGGCAGGUUACUAAGCAACAACUGACGCUGAUGGACGAAAGCGUGGGGAGCGAACAGGAUUAGAUACCCUGGUAGUCCACGCCGUAAACGAUGCUAACUCGUUUUUGGAGCGCAAGCUUCAGAGACUAAGCGAAAGUGAUAAGUUAGCCACCUGGGGAGUACGAACGCAAGUUUGAAACUCAAAGGAAUUGACGGGGGCCCGCACAAGCGGUGGAUUAUGUGGUUUAAUUCGAUGAUACGCGAGGAACCUUACCAAGGCUUAAAUGGGAAAUGACAGGUUUAGAAAUAGACUUUUCUUCGGACAUUUUUCAAGGUGCUGCAUGGUUGUCGUCAGCUCGUGCCGUGAGGUGUUAGGUUAAGUCCUGCAACGAGCGCAACCCCUGUCACUAGUUGCCAUCAUUAAGUUGGGGACUCUAGUGAGACUGCCUACGCAAGUAGAGAGGAAGGUGGGGAUGACGUCAAAUCAUCACGGCCCUUACGCCUUGGGCCACACACGUAAUACAAUGGCCGGUACAGAGGGCAGCUACACUGCGAAGUGAUGCAAAUCUCGAAAGCCGGUCUCAGUUCGGAUUGGAGUCUGCAACUCGACUCUAUGAAGCUGGAAUCGCUAGUAAUCGCGCAUCAGCCAUGCGCGAGCCAC
rnacentral:rRNA from 1 species